ACGUAGGUGGCAAGCGUUGUUCGGAAUUAUUGGGCGUAAAGGGCGCGUAGGCGGUUUGGUAAGUCAGCUGUGAAAGCCCGGGGCUCAACCCCGGAGGGUCGGCUGAUACUGCUAGGCUAGAGUACAGAAGAGGUAACUGGAAUUCCCAGUGUAGCGGUGAAAUGCGUAGAUAUUGGGAGGAACACCGGUGGCGAAGGCGGCUCUCUGGUCCGAAACUGACACUGAGAUGCGAAAGCCAGGGGAGCAAACGGGA
rnacentral:rRNA from 1 species